rnacentral:rRNA from 1 species
AUUGAACGCUGGCGGCAGGCCUAACACAUGCAAGUCGAGCGAGUGGCGGACGGGUGAGUAAUGUAUGGGGAACUGCCCGAUGGAGGGGGAUAACUACUGGAAACGGUAGCUAAUACCGCAUACCAUCGGAUGUGCCCAUAUGGGAUUAGCUAGUAGGUGGGGUAACGGCUCACCUAGGCGACGAUCCCUAGCUGGUCUGAGAGGAUGAUCAGCCACACUGGGACUGAGACACGGCCCAGACUCCUACGGGAGGCAGCAGUGGGGAAUAUUGCACAAUGGGCGCAAGCCUGAUGCAGCCAUGCCGCGUGUAUGAAGAAGGCCUUAGGGUUGUAAAGUACUUUCAGCGGGGAGGCGUUACCCGCAGAAGAAGCACCGGCUAACUCCGUGCCAGCAGCCGCGGUAAUAC